GCUUUUAUGAGCUGUAACACUCACCUCGAAGGUCCGCAGCUUCACUCCUGAAGCCAGCGAGACCACGAGCCUACCGGGAGGAACGAACAAUUCCCGACGCGCUGCCUUAAGAGCUGUAACACUCACCGCGAAGGUCUGCAGCUUCACUCCUGAGCCAGCGAGACCACGAACCCACCAGAAGGAAAAAACUCCGAACACAUCUGAACAUCAGAAGGAACAAACUCCGGACACGCCGCCUUUAAGAACUGUAACGCUCACCGCGAGGGUCCGCGGCUUCAUUCUUGAAGUAAGUGAGACCAAGAACCCACCAGUUCCGGACACAAUUUCAAGUCCUCAGGUGCCAUCAAUAUUCUGAAAAUGGCAGUGAUUUUUAUUCAACCUGUAUAAGCCACUUUCACCAUGUACCUGGAAGCAACAUCCACAUCUUUUUCAGCAAUCUAGAUGCUGGGGACACAAGGUCCACCUUCCAGGAAUAUGGCCAUGACACCAGAAAUCACAAACAUGAUGAGAAUGGAAUGAUUGGGGAAGAAGUGCCAGAUGCUUCACUUGUAAAUGAAGACCCAGCCUCUGGGGAUGCAGAUACCACCUCCCUGAAGAAGCUGAAGAUCUGCAGAUAAGUGGAGUUCACCAAUGAUGAGGAGCAGGAUGGAGAAAGGAGGUAGGGAGAGUCAUCCAAGGUACAUGAGCAACAUGUUAAAAGCCAAGUGGUUUAAUUUCUGGAGAUGGUGAACCCAAGAGGCUCUGCUGGGAGACAACAAAAAUAAUGAAGAAUUGAACCAGAGUCCGGUGAAUAUCAGCACUGGGACCAGUUAGCAGAGGAAAAGGAAAGAAUAAAAGCGAAAACAAUGAAGAGUCAUAUGAUUACCAACUUUUCCUUUUUCAUAUAAAUUGAGUGUAUAUGGGUCUGGAACAACCUGAAUUUCCAUCAAGUCCUGGCUAACCUCAUUAUGUCCUAUGAAUACUUUUGACUAAUCCCACUUUACAUUAAUCUGUAUUGUGAAUGUGAAUAUUGAAUUAUAUUUCUUUGUAAUCCCAUUAUCCAAAAUCCAGUUCAGAGACUAUUAGUUACCGAUGUUCACUGUGAAGGAAAAAAAAAAAAAAAGCUCAGAGGAUAAACAUGUGAUAUGGUUUGGCUGUGUCCCCACACAAAUAUCAUCUUGAAUUGUAGCUCCCAUAAUUCCCACGUGUUGUGGGAGGGACCCGGUGGGAGAUAAUUGUAUCAUGGGGGUGGUUCCCCCAUACUAUUCUCGUAGUAGUGAAUAAGUCUCACAAAAUCUGAUGGUUUUAUGAGGGAAAACCCCUUUCACUUGGUUCUCAUUCUCUUCUCUGGUCUGUCAUCAUGUAAGACAUGCCUUUCACCUUCUCCACCAUGAUUGUGAGGCCUCCCCAGCCACGUGGAACUGUGAGCCCAUUAAACCUCUUUCACUUAUAAAU
rnacentral:lncRNA from 1 species